CAUUCACAAAAUUACCACUUCUAUUUUGGAAUAAUGACCAGGUGUCUGUACAUUAUCUUUCUACCCAUCAAAAAUUAAAUAGGUACCUAGAUAGCAAAAUUCCUGAGGCCCAGAUCAGGCCCACACCUGACACUUUCAUCUGGCCCACAUACCGCAUGGAAUGAUGGCACUUGGGCGGUCCGCUCCUGUUUGCCAGAUUUGGGCCACAAGUAAGCCAAAGGAAGGCCCAAUAUCAGCCGUGAAUGAACCAAAUAAAGCAGAACUGGCCCAAAUCUGGGACACAUUGAUUUUAAUUCUGGCCCAGAUCCAACACCUUGCUCCGGCCCACACACUGUAAAAAAAUUCCGUAAAAAUACAGUACAAUAUACCGUAAUAAUUUGAAGGAAUUUUCCGUAUUUGGUUUUUACUGGUGUUUUUCCAUUUUUUUAAUUACGCUUUGCAUUGUGGGAACAAGAAGAUCAGUCGAUUAUCGGCGCGAAAACAGUGCUUGAGCAGACGCCAUUAUUCACAGAGAUAGUCUCGGUAAAAAUUUCAUUUUAAAGUCGGAUUUCGGGUUUGAGGAACCGUUUUUACACUUCCGUGGUAAAUUAUAUUUUGUUAAAUGUAACAAACUGUAACGUUAACUUAGUUGCUGUCUUCCUUGUUUGCCAAAUGAAUGUCGGAGCCGUCGCAUUUGACAUUUUCAGCACACCGUCACAUCUCACUCGACGUGGAGAGCGCUGUGUGCCUUCAACAGAAGCUGGCAGAGCAAUUGUCAAGAAAAGAAGAUACCAUUACGACUUUUUUUUAUUCUUUAAAAGAGAUUAUACAACUAGGUGAAGAUCUGACAUCGCGGAAUUCUUCAAGGAUAACGCAACUUUUCUGCCAAACGAGGUCGUAAUUGCUGCUGUAUUGUGCAUCCCAAGUACUCCCUGCAUUCUUAUCAAGGAUUGCUGUCAUUCAAGAACUUAUCAUGUCCUCCCCCAUUGUGGCUGAGCUACACAUUCUCUUCAUUUUAUUUUAAACAUAAAACAUCCAGAGGAGAUGGCACCUACGUUGGAAUUCAUACAAAUUCUUCCUGUGAAGAAAUCCUGAACGAGGGUCGGUGGUUUAGAUGAAGGGAACCUAUGCUUCCAAGACUCAUGUAUGAACAACUUCGAGAAUCCAUGUACAAUUUGAGCUUUUUUCAGAUCUCAACAUGGAACUUGGACUGAACAUGCAGCAAAAGGGGGAAAAAAAAAGGAAGUAGUUUCCCCAAGCUGGCACAUGGCAAGCGAUACUAAAAGCACACAAACACUUGGAGCCCUGCUGUUAAUUUAGAUUGUAUAGUUCUCUUAGUUUCACAUUGAAAUGUUAGGCAUGAGUGCAUGAAUCAUUGUUCUUUAUUUUCAAAUGAUGUACAAGAAUUUUUUUUUUUUUUUUUUGCAGUACCAUGUCAAUUGUAGAUGACAGAAUUCACAUUUUUGAUGUGAACUGUCCUUUUAAAUAACAUUUCACUUGACUAUUGACUAGAAGUCUGUAGCAAUUGUUAUUAAUGACAGCCCUGGCUUUGUAUUAAUUUUUUCCCAUGUAUCUGAAAAUGUUUUGAAUCUUGACUGUUUCACAGUGAAGUUUAUCUUUGUGACCACUAUUUGGUGCAACACCAAUAUUGUACAAGUAGCUGCUCAUGUUUUCUUUUUUCUGCCUGUGCCGUUUAAAACUAAAACACAUUGUUAAAUUAAUUGAUGUAAUAAUAUUUUUGUCUUCACCUGUUAAAGGCAAAUAAAAGCUACUGAACGCACUUUUAAGAAUGUUUACAUGAGGUAAA